AACCAACAGGGAUUGCCCUAGUAACGGCGAGUBAAGCGGCAACAGCUCAAAUUUGAAAUCUGGCUCUUUCAGAGUCCGAGUUGUAAUUUGCAGAGGGCGCUUUGGCUUUGGCAGCGGUCCAAGUUCCUUGGAACAGGACGUCACAGAGGGUGAGAAUCCCGUACGUGGUCGCUAGCUAUUGCCGUGUAAAGCCCCUUCGACGAGUCGAGUUGUUUGGGAAUGCAGCUCUAAAUGGGAGGUAAAUUUCUUCUAAAGCUAAAUAUUGGCCAGAGACCGAUAGCGCACAAGUAGAGUGAUCGAAAGAUGAAAAGCACUUUGGAAAGAGAGUCAAACAGCACGUGAAAUUGUUGAAAGGGAAGCGCUUGCAGCCAGACUUGCUUGCAGUUGCUCAUCCGGGCUUUUGCCCGGUGCACUCUUCUGUAGGCAGGCCAGCAUCAGUUUGGGCGGUGGGAUAAAGGUCUYUGUCACGUACCUCUCUUCGGGGAGGCCUUAUAGGGGAGACGACAUACCACCAGCCUAGACUGAGGKCCGCGCAUCUGCUAGGAUGCUGGCGUAAUGGCUGUAAGCGGCCCGUCUUGAAACACGGACCAAGGAGUCUAACAUCUAUGCGAGUGUUUGGGUGUCAAGCCCGAGCGCGUAAUGAAAGUGAACGGAGGUGGGAACCCGCAAGGGUGCACCAUCGACCGAUCCUGAAGUUUACGGAAGGAUUUGAGUAAGAGCAUGGCUGUUGGGACCCGAAAGAUGGUGAACUAUGCUUGAAUAGGGUGAAG
rnacentral:rRNA from 1 species